GCCCUGAUUUAUAUUUUUUAUUAUAGUGUUGUGUUGUGUGUAUUUAAUUGAAUAUGUUGAAGUCAGUCUACAAUUUCACCGAAUAUUUACGCUUUUUAUUUUUUUUAUAGUGUUGUGUUGUGUGUAUUUAAUUGAAUAUGUUAAGUCAGUCUACAAUUUCGCCGAAUAUUUACGAUGUAUUAUGUCUACAGCUAGCUGCUACUAGGUUAUAAGUUCCUGUAAAUUAUAGGACUACAAGAUAUUGUGACUUCAAGGUAUUGAGAACUAAGUUAGUAUCUGUAUGUAAUUACGUUUCUAGGAAAUAAUUUUUUGUGAAUUUCAAUCAGC
rnacentral:lncRNA from 1 species